UCUAUUCUCUUAUCCCCGUUCCUCCAACUGUUCUUGACCUGACAUCCUUAUCCUUUCUCCAUCUCAGUGAUGCUCUGCCUCCCGCCGCCUACUCCCUUCGUUCCUUGCCGUGCACUACUGCUAGCCUGCUGCUCUUCGUCGCCGCUGCGAGGCACUCAUUUUGCUCCGCAGCUGCUGCCGACGCGCGCCGUGCUGCAUCUUUGCCGGACCACGUGGAGCAGAAGUGGGGCCAUCGACGGCACACCCCGCUGCUCCCGCGUGGUCGCGCUCUACCCUGAUGUGCCGCUUCCCCGCCGUCGCGCUUUGAGCCCGGCAUGCUGCUCCCCGAUGCCGCGCGUGCUUUCUCGUGCCAAAGUUGGAAUUUUGGAGUGAACUAAACAUGGGCUCAGCUGUGCAGCACAGUAGUAGCCGUGCUUUCGCCAACAGGGACCAUGGAAAGAGUUCCAGCGAAGUGAGCAAGCGAAAGUUACAGCCUACAGCUGCUACACCUCGCUGCUAAGGUUACAGCGGUGUGUGCGCAGUUACUGGAGCUGAUGAGUAGCUGGGUUCUCUACUCUCGUCUCUACUACUGCUAGUACACUUAUGGAGACGGACUGAGACAAGGGAGGAGCAAAAUCGCAAACUAUUUGGUCGCCGAACCCAUCUUCUUCUCCGAUUCGAAUUCCAUCGAUCAUUUCUUUCUUUCUUCUGCUCAUGAGAUUUGCAUGGCCUGAAGAGCCCCGCAUGGUGAUUGGCGAGUACCACUCGCUCCCAGCUGCCAUUGGAAACUUUCUACCACCGCUGUAAUAAGCUAGGUACCGUUGCCCAGUAAAUUAAACGCACAGUGCAUGGCGCCUUGAUCGA